UCCACCAUUAAAUAAGGGUCGUGGACCUACAAGAGGUAAGGGCACAGAUACUAUUGUACAAAUGUCAGGGAAAAUCAAGUUAGAUUUCAACACAGAGAGUGGAAGACCAAAAGAUAGUGAUAAAUCUACAAAAUUUUCUAAUGAGUGUGGCUAUCUCAUUAGAAAAUUUGCUCCACUACAAUUCGAGAAAUGGUCAGCUAUUCCAGCUAUGGAUACACAACCAUUAGUUGAUCGCCUUUUAAUAUGUCAAAAACAUACAUUACAAAGUAUGUGCAUGAGAUUAUGGGACAACGUUAUCGAACAUAUAGAUAUGAUCUUCACCAGCAUUUCAAGCAGUUUGAGACAGUGGAGGAGGCACGUUUGCACCCACCAGAUGAUGUCACACAAGAAGAUUCAGAUUACUUGUGCAAUCUUUUUUCUCUUGAAAAAUUUAAGAGUGUUGCCACUGGAGAGUUGCAAGGGGAAGUGGAGUUAUUUCGUGCCACUCACUACAAUGAAAGUAAGGGAUGGAUCAAUGACACAACUAAAUCUCGAUAUGAAGAGAUGCGUAAGCUUCAAGAGCAGAGUACCCAAGAUGGAGAUACUCCUAUCUCUGACUUGGAGAUAACUCAAAGAGUACUAGGGAAGUGAUCAGGUUAUAUUCGAGGUUUGGGAUAUGGGUCACGACUUAAGCGUUCGACUACAACUGAAUUUCCUGAUGAAGAAACAGAGAGGUUACGACAACAAAUCACAAAGUUAGAGGAGUUUAGAACAAUAGCUACCACUCAAUUGGAGGAGUUAAAGGCAAUGAUCCAGACUUUGAUGCCACAACAAACCAACACUUCUAACCAACCACCACCUCAUUCUAGCUCAACUUCCCAACCACCACCGUCACCAUCGAGUUGAUAUUAUUAUGUGGUUUGCUAUUAUUUAUUGGUCACUUUUAUUUUAGACAAUAUUCGAAUGGUAC